rnacentral:rRNA from 1 species
AGCGAACGCUGGCGGCAGGCUUAACACAUGCAAGUCGAACGGUCCUUCGGGAUAGUGGCGGACGGGUGAGUAACACGUGGGAACGUACCCUUAGGUUCGGAACAACACAGGGAAACUUGUGCUAAUACCGGAUAAGCCCUUCGGGGGAAAGAUUUAUCGCCUUUGGAGCGGCCCGCGUCUGAUUAGCUUGUUGGUGAGGUAAUGGCUCACCAAGGCUACGAUCAGUAGCUGGUCUGAGAGGAUGGCCAGCCACACUGGGACUGAGACACGGCCCAGACUCCUACGGGAGGCAGCAGUGGGGAAUCUUGCGCAAUGGGCGAAAGCCUGACGCAGCCAUGCCGCGUGGAUGAUGAAGGUCUUAGGAUUGUAAAAUCCUUUCACCGGGGACGAUAAUGACGGUACCCGGAGAAGAAGCCCCGGCUAACUUCGUGCCAGCCGCCGCGGUAAUWC